ensembl:antisense Gm14154 predicted gene 14154
AGCCAAGAGGAACGCACUCCAGGAGGGAAGUAUGAUCUCUUAGGAGCAAAAGAUGGAGGUCCGUGGUAUGAACACAGUGAACUCCAGUAUAGCAACAGCCUUUACUGGCCUCAUGCAGUGCUCUCAGGAACAGUGUGUGCUGUCUGGCUGCCUCCUCUGGGGACCCACCAGGCACCAAUGAGAACAGCCUGGUUUGGAGAUCCUUCCAGAAAGUUCUGUUAGCCUUGUGAUGGGCAGCAAGGACAGCACUUUAGUUUUUUUAUGAAAUGAUAGGACACUGAGUAGAGGCAAGAAGAAGGAUCAAAGAUUUGGGGUAGGAAUUUCAGCUGCAAACAUUCCCGAUCCUGUUUGCAGGAACUGCAGCCUCCAGGAGAUUCAACCUGCUCUCCAAGCCAUCCCUGUCCCUGCCGGACUCCAACAGCAGCUGCGAUCUGGAGUUUGUCCAUUAGACCAGACCAAAUGGCCAGUGAACCGCAGGGACCUGCCUGUCUCUGCCGCCUCAGUGCUGGGAUUUCAGGAGCAUGCACCACGCCCAUCUUUUCAUGGGGGUUCUGGGAACAAGCUCUGUUUCUCAAGAUG